GACGAACGCUGGCGGCGUGCUUAACACAUGCAAGUCGAACGGAAAGGCCCUGCUUUUGUGGGGUGCUCGAGUGGCGAACGGGUGAGUAACACGUGAGUAACCUGCCCUUGACUUUGGUAUAACUUCAGGAAACUGGGGCUAAUACCGGAUAGGAGCUCCUGCUGCAUGGUGGGGGUUGGAAAGUUUCGGCGGUUGGGGAUGGACUCGCGGCUUAUCAGCUUGUUGGUGGGGUAGUGGCUUACCAAGGCUUUGACGGGUAGCCGGCCUGAGAGGGUGACCGGCCACAUUGGGACUGAGAUACGGCCCAGACUCCUACGGGAGGCAGCAGUGGGGAAUAUUGCACAAUGGGCGGAAGCCUGAUGCAGCAACGCCGCGUGCGGGAUGACGGCCUUCGGGUUGUAAACCGCUUUCGCCAGUGACGAAGCGUGAGUGACGGUAAUGGGUAAAGAAGCACCGGCUAACUACGUG
rnacentral:rRNA from 1 species